rnacentral:rRNA from 1 species
AGUGAACGCUGGCGGUAGGCCUAACACAUGCAAGUCGAACGGCAGCACAGUAAGAGCUUGCUCUUACGGGUGGCGAGUGGCGGACGGGUGAGGAAUACAUCGGAAUCUACUUUUUCGUGGGGGAUAACGUAGGGAAACUUACGCUAAUACCGCAUACGACCUACGGGUGAAAGCAGGGGAUCUUCGGACCUUGCGCGAUUGAAUGAGCCGAUGUCGGAUUAGCUAGUUGGCGGGGUAAAGGCCCACCAAGGCGACGAUCCGUAGCUGGUCUGAGAGGAUGAUCGGCCACACUGGAACGGAGACAGGGUCCAGACUCCUACGGGAGGCAGCAGUGGGGAAUAUUGGACAAUGGGCGCAAGCCUGAUCCAGCCAUACCGCGUGGGUGAAGAAGGCCUUCGGGUUGUAAAGCCCUUUUGUUGGGAAAGAAAAGCAGCAGGUUAAUACCCCGCUGUUCUGACGGUACCCAAAGAAUAAGCACCGGCUAACUUCGCG